GGGGGCUUAGCUCAUCUGGGAGAGCGCCUGCUUUGCACGCAGGAGGUCAGCGGUUCGAUCCCGCUAGUCUCCACCA
rnacentral:tRNA from 2 species